rnacentral:rRNA from 1 species
CAGCAGCCACGGGAAUACGUAGGGCGCAAGCGUUGUCCGGAAUUAUUGGGCGUAAAGAGCUCGUAGGCGGUCUGUCGCGUCUGGUGUGAAAUCCCGAGGCUCAACCUCGGGCUUGCAUCGGGUACGGGCAGACUAGAGUGCGGUAGGGGAGACUGGAAUUCCUGGUGUAGCGGUGGAAUGCGCAGAUAUCAGGAGGAACACCGAUGGCGAAGGCAGGUCUCUGGGCCGCAACUGACGCUGAGGAGCGAAAGCAUGGGGAGCGAACAGGAUUAGAUACCCCGGUAGUCCCUGUCUCUUAUAC